rnacentral:misc_RNA from 3 species
CACCACUCAAGCCUCGCUUGGUAUUGGGCGACGCGGUUAGCCGCGCGCCUCAAAUCUUCCGGCUGGGUCCGAGUCGUCCCUCAGCGUUGUGGAAACUAUUCGCUAAAGGUGCGCGUCUCGGUCACGCCGUUAAACAACCCCAAUCAUUAAA